rnacentral:rRNA from 1 species
AACGAACGCUGGCGGCAUGCCUAACACAUACAAGUCGAACGAGACCUUCGGGUCUAGUGGCGCACGGGUGCGUAACGCGUGGGAACCUGCCCUUAGGUUCGGAAUAACUCCCCGAAAGGGGUGCUAAUACCGGAUAAUGUCUUCGGACCAAAGAUUUAUCGCCUUUGGAUGGGCCCGCGUUGGAUUAGCUAGUUGGUAGGGUAAAAGCCUACCAAGGCGACGAUCCAUAGCUGGUCUGAGAGGAUGAUCAGCCACACUGGGACUGAGACACGGCCCAGACUCCUACGGGAGGCAGCAGUGGGGAAUAUUGGACAAUGGGCGAAAGCCUGAUCCAGCAAUGCCGCGUGAGUGAUGAAGGCCUUAGGGUUGUAAAGCUCUUUUACCCGGGAUGAUAAUGACAGUACCGGGAGAAUAAGCACCGGCUAACUCCGUG